rnacentral:rRNA from 1 species
CAGCCGCCGCGGGAAUACGGAGGGUGCAAGCGUUAAUCGGAAUUACUGGGCGUAAAGCGCACGCAGGCGGUUUGUUAAGUCAGAUGUGAAAUCCCCGAGCUUAACUUGGGAACUGCAUUUGAAACUGGCAAGCUAGAGUCUUGUAGAGGGGGGUAGAAUUCCAGGUGUAGCGGUGAAAUGCGUAGAGAUCUCGAGGAAUACCGGUGGCGAAGGCGGCCCCCUGGACAAAGACUGACGCUCAGGUGCGAAAGCGUGGGGAGCAAACAGGAUUAGAUACCCCAGUAGUCCCUGUCUCUUAUAC